rnacentral:rRNA from 1 species
GUCCACGCCGUAAACGAUGAGCACUAGGUGUCGGGGUCGCAAGACUUCGGUGCCGCAGUUAACGCAUUAAGUGCUCCGCCUGGGGGAGUACGCACGCAAGUGUGAAACUCAAAGGAAUUGACGGGGACCCCGCACAAGCAGCGGAGCAUGUGGUUUAAUUCGAAGCAACGCGAAGAACCUUACCAGGACUUGACAUCCCUCUGACAGUCCCUUAACCGGGAUCUCCUUCGGGCAGAGGUGACAGGUGGUGCAUGGUUGUCGU